rnacentral:rRNA from 1 species
AUUAAUUCGAUGCAAACGCGAAAACCUUACCUACCCUUGACAUGUCCGGAAUCCCGAAGAGAUUUGGGAGUGCUCGCAAGAGAACCGGAACACAGGUGCUGCAUGGCUGUCGUCAGCUCGUGUCGUGAGAUGUUGGGUUAAGUCCCGCAACGAGCGCAACCCUUGUCAUUAGUUGCCAUCAUUCAGUUGGGCACUCUAAGGCGACUGCCGGUGAUAAGCCGGAGGAAGGUGGGGAUGACGUCAAGUCCUCAUGGCCCUUACGGGCUGGGCUACACACGUGCUACAAUGGCGGUGACAGAGGGAUGCGAGGGCGCGAGCCUUGGCAAAUCUCAAAAAGCCGUCUCAGUUCGGAUUGGGGUCUGCAACUCGACCCCAUGAAGUUGGAAUCGCUAGUAAUCGCGGAUCAGCACGCCGCGGUGAAUACGUUCCCGGGCCUU